GAGCUAGGCGCCUGGGGCAAGCGUGUAUAUAGUAAUUGAACACCACGUCAAAUGCGCCGCACCGCGCCGUGUCGUGUCUUCCAAUUUAAUGGCCGUCAAAAGCCCGCAUUUAUUGUCUAUCCAAAGUGUUAGUGUAUUAGUGCGUUUGCGUUUGUUCGCUUUGCCGCCCUUUUCGUUACGCUUUAGUAGGCGGGAAUUCGCUGCCAAAUCAUUCACGGGCAACUGACUGCAUUGCGCCCACCUGUUAGAGGUGGGGGUUCGUUCAUUCGUCGAAAUUGGAAAAGAGGAUGUGACUUUUUCGCUUAGAGGCCCUCAAAAGUAAGCACCAAAUUGAUAAAGUCGUAACUAAAUGUUCUUUAUCUCAAAGAGGUAUGCUUUUAUGGGUGAUAAAAGUAUAACCAAAAUUAAAAUGAACUUUGGAGUGGCAUAAGGAGACUCGGAGAAUAAGAUAUAUCGUUUUAUACCUAAACGUACAUAUGUGAUAUGUAGUACGUGUGAAUGAUUGCCGAUGAAGAGCUUGCCUAAUCUCCGCUUUUGCUUUCAAGUCGCUUUUCUGUGGAUUUUGUGUUACAUGUGUAUGUCCGUCCGUAUGCAUGUAUGGGAAGUUUUUAAUUAUUGUUAUACCCAUUGUGCCGCUUUCAAUUAAGUGCAGGCUCAAUAGAACGGCCUUCAACUCCCUUAGCUUGUGCUUACAUAACAAGCUAAGAGUGUGCGUAGGCGGGGAAGGGCUGCGAUGCUGUUAUCAGUGCGAAAAGAGCAAGAAAUAUCAAAACAGAGACAAAACAUGCGCAUAAGCUUUGUCAGUGUGUGUGUGCUUAAUGCCUCCCCACCCAUGCAUAUACUCCUCUCCUGCUAUUCCCUUCUCUUUGUAAACUUGUACCGUUUGUUUUGGAUACUUUAAGCAAAAUUCUCUUCGAAAUAUGCCCAAGCGACGGCGCACAUUGACCCACAACAUACAUAUGCAUACAUAUAUGCACACUUAUACGCUUAUGUACUAUAAGAUCCAUUGUUUGCCCCGCGCUGACUUUUCAGAAUUUGUAUUUUAAUGUCGCUGACAGCUUGUUCACGUUCCCGUUUCCCCCUGCUCCGCCCCCGUUGCGAUUGAUUUCCUUAUACGCCGCCUAACUGAUCUGCUUCGAUUCGCCUUGUUUUUUGUUCUUUUGUGCUUCUAUCAAAUUCCGUUCGGCCUGCUGCAGGAUGAAGCAGAACGUUUUGGCCACUUGCCAAAACCAUGCGGCGGCAUGGCCCAGGGGAGGAGAUGGUAAUAGCCGACAUUCUUAUCAUUUUGUCAGUUUAUAUUCUGUUAUGCGUCUUGAGUGCAUUGAGUGGAUUAUGUGAAUGAUGGGGGGAGUCUCCCCAUUCCCUAUUCCCUCUGCCAAGGUCAUAAUACCCUGUGCCGAAUAGGGCACAAGGGUAUGUACAUUGUAGCUGUCUUAACUUUUUCGCGACUUCAGGUGUUUUAGGUAUCCCACAUUUGGGAUGUCGGAUUGUCGGCUAUCGUUCGUAUCGUACUUGCUUUCACUUCCAUUUGACAUUUGGCAAAUUGUUAUUACAUAUUAUUAUUGUUAUGGCCCGGUUAGUGCGAUAAGAUCGCCGAUCGCAAUAGCCUGUACGAUUAUAUGGCUCUGCCUUACGCCAUACACAAUAUACCUGCUAUAUACGACAGCACAUAAUACUUAUCAAUUAUAUAGCAGCCACUUAAAACCCAACAAACUAGUGCAAAUUGAUUGAUGGAAUAAGCCUGAAACUCGAGAUUGGAGAGAGGCCGCAGGUGGGGAGACUGUGCUACGUGCAAUUACACACCCAAUCCUAUCGGUUGUAGAGAGGCAGCAGAACAUUUACAAUGAGAGACAGCACAUUAUUUAACGCACUGCAACUCUAGCUAUAAACAAACUUUUGUUUGUGAAAUCCCCCUUAUUGGAAUCGCACGACAGUCAUGGACACAUACACAUCCCCAACGUAUUCUGGCGACUUGGCAACACCUUUAUCAGCAAUUUAACGAAAUUGAAAACAAAAAUAAGGUUCGAUAAGGUGGGCCAGAGAUCUCCACACGAGCGUACGUUUACACUGGGCGAGUGUUUGCGGUGAGGAAUCUAGAAAAUAUAGAGCCAGAGCAUUCCCUUCAUGGGGAACUUGUUGUGGCUCGUCGUGAUGUGCUGCGAAUUCCUCAAUUAUUCAAUAUUUACACUGACAUGUACUACUGGAUGACGUCAACGCCACCGGCAACGCCAACGCUCACUUGCAGCCCCACAAUGGCCCCCCCCCGGCCAUCAUUUUACAUAUCCAUUACUGGGUCACUCAUUUGAAAGCCCCUUCCCAGCAAUUGUGUGGUAAAUUGCCCAUUCGAGCGGAGUGAAGCAACCCAAGCCGCCAUCUACAUGCAUAUAUGUACAUAUAAUGAAUGCAGGCCCCUGCAAAUGCCCUGCAAAUUGUGUGUUAGAUUGUUGACAAUGUCUUGGCAAAUUAUUCCACCCUGUGUGUCAGGGCAGAACCAACAGAAGCGUUGUCAUAUGUCGCUAUUAAGUAACAGGUUAAAAAUAUAUAUAUAAACAUUGUAUGCAGAUAGAUAAGACAUAGGUAAUCCAAAAUAGAACAAGCUUUGCUUUCA